rnacentral:rRNA from 1 species
GACGAACGCUGGCGGCGUGCUUAACACAUGCAAGUCGAACGAAGUGGCGAACGGGUGAGUAACGCGUAAUCAACCUGCCCUUCAGCGGGGCACACCAGUUUGAAACGACUGCUAAUACGCCAUACUGAAGGUGGGGAUUCCGUCUGAUUAGGUAGUUGGAGGGGUAAAGACCCACCAAGGCGAAGAUCAGUAGCCGGGCUGAGAGGAGGAACGGCCAAAGUGGGACUGAGACACGGCCCAGACUCCUACGGGAGGCAGCAGGGGGGAAACGUCCGGAAUGGACGAAAGUCUGACGGAGCAAAGCCGCGUGAGUGAUAGCGGCCGUCGGGUUGUAAAGCUCUGUUAAUCGGGACGCGGUACCGGAAUAGAAAGCCACGGCUAACUACGUGCCAGCAGCCGCGGUAAUUC